CAGUCGCCACGGUAAUACGUAGGUGGCAAGCGUUGUCCGGAAUUAUUGGGCGUAAAGGGCUCGCAGGCGGUUUCUUAAGUCUGAUGUGAAAGCCCCCGGCUCAACCGGGGAGGGUCAUUGGAAACUGGGAAACUUGAGUGCAGAAGAGGAGAGUGGAAUUCCACGUGUAGCGGUGAAAUGCGUAGAGAUGUGGAGGAACACCAGUGGCGAAGGCGACUCUCUGGUCUGUAACUGACGCUGAGGAGCGAAAGCGUGGGGAGCGAACAGGAUUAGUUACCCCCGUAGUCCCUGUCUCUUAUAA
rnacentral:rRNA from 1 species